rnacentral:lncRNA from 1 species
CCUUUAUGUUGGUAAUUUCAUUUAAAUAGAAAUGCUUUUAUCCUUGGGUAGCUUGUAGACCACUAUAUUCUCUAGGACACAAGGCCAGAAUUCUAGCCUAAUUUAUCUUCUCUUUGGAAAGGCAUAGAAUUUGUUUCUGAGUGCUAUUUUGAUGGAAAGGUUCAGUAAAUGAGAAUACAUUUGCUGUAUUCAUAACCUGGAGACACUAAGGAUUGAGCAUAUAUAUCUCUUCCAGCUGGAGGCAUCCAAAUAGUUAUACUGAAUAAUAAUUCAUUCUGUUCUUAAAAAUUAUUCCUGCCUAUUCUCCAUCUUGUCACAGAAAAAGAAGGGGGAGGAGAGAAUAAGACAGGAGAAGAUAAUUAAGAAGGACAGAAGAGACAGAAAAGAAGCAGACUUGUUAAACCAAUCUUUUCCUGCAACUCUCAUAAGUUUGUGGCCAUGAUGACUAGAGAAUCCUUUAAGCUCAACCAGUAGUGACUUUCAGAAGAAAUGUAUUGUAAACAUCUUUGCCUGUAAGGUCUAUAAUUUCUUA